rnacentral:rRNA from 1 species
AUUGAACGCUGGCGGCAUGCUUUACACAUGCAAGACGAACGGUAACAGGCCGCAAGGUGCUGACGAAUGGCGAACGGGUGAGUAAUGCAUCGGAACGUGCCCAGGCGGGGGGGGUAACGCAGCGAAAGCUGCCCUACUACACCAAACGAUCGAUGGAUGAAAGCGGGAGACCUUAAGGCCUCGCGCGAUUGGAGCUGGCGAUGUCAGAUUAGGUAGUUGGUGGGGUAAAGGCUCACCAAGCCGACGAUCUGUAGCUGGUCUGAGAGGACGACCAGCCACACUGGGACGGAGACACGGCCCAGACUCCUACGGGAGGCAGCCGUGAGGAAUUUUGGACAAUGGGCGCAAGCCUGAUCCAGCAAUGCCGCGUGCAGGAAGAAGGCCUUCGGGUUGUAAACUGCUUUUGUACGGAACGAAACGGCUCUGGUUAAUACCUGGGGCUAAUGACGGUACCGUAAGAAUAAGCACCGGCUAACUACGUGCCAGCCGCCGCCGUAACAC